rnacentral:rRNA from 1 species
UUAAGUGACUAAGCGUACACGGUGGAUGCCUUGGCAGUCAGAGGCGAUGAAGGACGUAGUAACUUGCGAUAAGCGUAGAUGAGGCAGUAACAGCCACUUGAGUCUACGAUUUCCGAAUGGGGAAACCCACUGGCAUAAGCCAGUAUCAUUGAGUGAAUACAUAGCUCAAUGAAGCGAACCGGGAGAACUGAAACAUCUAAGUACCCCGAGGAAAAGAAAUCAACCGAGAUUCCGAAAGUAGCGGCGAGCGAAAUUGGAUUAGCCCUUAAGCUUUACAUGUGUUAGACGAACGGUCUGGAAAGUCCGACGAUACAGGGUGAUAGUCCCGUAGUUGACGAUGCAUGUUCAGUGAAAUCGAGUAGGGCGGGACACGUGUUAUCCUGUCUGAAUAUGGGGGGACCAUCCUCCAAGGCUAAAUACUCCUGACUGACCGAUAGUGAACCAGUACCGUGAGGGAAAGGCGAAAAGAACCCCUGUGAGGGGAGUGAAAUAGAACCUGAAACCGUGUACGUACAAGCAGUAGGAGCACCUUCGUGGUGUGACUGCGUACCUUUUGUAUAAUGGGUCAGCGACUUAUAUUCAGUGGCAAGGUUAACCAUCUAGGGGAGCCGUAGGGAAACCGAGUCUUAACUGGGCGCCAUAGUCUCUGGAUAUAGACCCGAAACCGAGUGAUCUAGCCAUGGGCAGGUUGAAGGUUGAGUAACAUCAACUGGAGGACCGAACCGACUAAUGUUGAAAAUUAGCGGAUGACUUGUGGCUAGGGGUGAAAGGCCAAUCAAACUCGGAGAUAGCUGGUUCUCCCCGAAAGCUAUUUAGGUAGCGCCUCGGACGAAUACUACUGGGGGUAGAGCACUGUUAAGGCUAGGGGGUCAUCCCGACUUACCAACCCUUUGCAAACUCCGAAUACCAGUAAGUACUAUCCGGGAGACACACGGCGGGUGCUAACGUCCGUCGUGGAGAGGGAAACAACCCAGACCGCCAGCUAAGGUCCCAAAUUACAGCUAAGUGGGAAACGAUGUGGGAAGGCUUAGACAGCUAGGAUGUUGGCUUAGAAGCAGCCAUCAUUUAAAGAAAGCGUAAUAGCUCACUAGUCGAGUCGGCCUGCGCGGAAGAUGUAACGGGGCUAAGUUGUAAACCGAAGCUGCGGCAAUGUUCUAUGAACAUUGGGUAGGGGAGCGUUCUGUAAGCCGUUGAAGGUGUGUUGUAAAGCAUGCUGGAGGUAUCAGAAGUGCGAAUGCUGACAUGAGUAACGACAAGGGGGGUGAAAAACCUCCCCGCCGGAAGACCAAGGGUUCCUGUCCAACGUUAAUCGGGGCAGGGUAAGUCGACCCCUAAGGCGAGGCUGAAAAGCGUAGUCGAUGGGAAACGGGUUAAUAUUCCCGUACUUCUUACAAUUGCGAUGGGGGGACGGAGAAGGCUAGGUGGGCCUGGCGACGGUUGUCCAGGUUCAAGUGCGUAGGCUGAGUGUUUAGGUAAAUCCGGAUACUCUUAAGGCUGAGACACGACGUCGAGCUACUACGGUAGUGAAGUCAUUGAUGCCAUGCUUCCAGGAAAAGCCUCUAAGCUUCAGAUUGUAAGGAAUCGUACCCCAAACCGACACAGGUGGUCGGGUAGAGAAUACCAAGGCGCUUGAGAGAACUCGGGUGAAGGAACUAGGCAAAAUGGUACCGUAACUUCGGGAGAAGGUACGCUCUUGAUGGUGAAGUCCCUUGCGGAUGGAGCUGACGAGAGUCGCAGAUACCAGGUGGCUGCAACUGUUUAUUAAAAACACAGCACUGUGCAAAAUCGUAAGAUGACGUAUACGGUGUGACGCCUGCCCGGUGCCGGAAGGUUAAUUGAUGGGGUUAGCGUAAGCGAAGCUCUUGAUCGAAGCCCCGGUAAACGGCGGCCGUAACUAUAACGGUCCUAAGGUAGCGAAAUUCCUUGUCGGGUAAGUUCCGACCUGCACGAAUGGCGUAAUGAUGGCCACGCUGUCUCCACCCGAGACUCAGUGAAAUUGAAAUCGCUGUGAAGAUGCAGUGUACCCGCGGCUAGACGGAAAGACCCCGUGAACCUUUACUACAGCUUGGCACUGAACAUUGAACCUACAUGUGUAGGAUAGGUGGGAGGCUUUGAAGACGUGACGCCAGUUGCGUUGGAGCCGU